rnacentral:rRNA from 1 species
CCUACGGGAGGCAGCAGUAGGGAAUCUUCGGCAAUGGACGAAAGUCUGACCGAGCAACGCCGCGUGAGUGAAGAAGGUUUUCGGAUCGUAAAACUCUGUUGGUAGAGAAGAACGUUGGUGAGAGUGGAAAGCUCAUCAAGUGACGGUAACUACCCAGAAAGGGACGCCUAACUACGUGCCAGCAGCCGCGGUAAUACGUAGGUCCCGAGCGUUGUCCGGAUUUAUUGGGUUUAAAGGGUGCGUAGGCGGACUGGAAAGUAAGCGGUAAAAUCGAAGGGCUAAACUGCGUUCCGCCGUUGAAACUGUCGGUCUGGAGUGCGCGAGAGGUAUGCGGAAUGCGUGGUGUAGCGGUGAAAUGCAUAGAUAUCACGCAGAACUCCGAUGGCGAAGGCGGCAUACCGGCGCCCGACUGACGCUGAGGCACGAAAGCGAGGGUAUCGAACGGGAUUAGAUACCCCUGUAGUC